UUUCUGUUGGGCGCUGUGCAUUUUAGGGCUGACAACGACGGCCACGAUCGACGGCUCUGAUGGAAGCUCUGUUUCUAGGGCUUGCGAGAUAGGGCUCGAGAGGAGAAAUGCAAGCGCUGAGGGCCACCGUAGCUGCGGCGCGCAACACCAGGCCAUGGAACAAGGCGCAGAUCCGUGAGAUUCAUCCGCGCGAUGCCGAGGUAAGGAGCUUUUCGAUCGAUUGGAAUUUGAUCGAAUAGAUUGAUCGCAAUUGCAGCUCUUGUCCCCGGAUCCAGCCCUCGCUCCUUUCAAGAGCAAUAAACCCACCGCGAAGAAGAUGCAAAUGGUGGGCGAUGCUACAAUUGUUUUGCUAGGACUGGGUAAGUAUCCCAUUUCGUUUUCUUCCAACUGGAGCUUCUCAAUGCCCUUCCUUUUUUUUCCCAGGCUUUCUCUACGAGAUCCACUAUCGAUGGCAGAAGAAAUGCGACGAAGCAAAGGAAUCGACGUAAACUGUGUACAAAUUCUAAAUAAAAAAGAAAAAAAGAGGAAAAACGCUGCUUCACAAGCACUCACUUUUUUUUUUCUCUUCACUGCUACUAGCCUAUGCUAUCAAAAUUUUUUGGACAUCCUCGACUUACAUUUAGAACGAGUUCACCCUCCUCAGCUCCACUCGCCUGGCCUUGGCGUUUUUCUUGGAACGUUUCAGCACCGUCAGCAUGUCUAUCACCUGAGAAAACAAAAACAAUGGUUUUCGAUUUCGAUCGAGAAUCUAGCGUACCUUGGCCCUGUACCUUGCAUCCUCGGCCUAUUACCAUAAACCCAGCGAGAAACCACUCUCUUAGAAGUUAAAACUAAGCAAAGCUUCUCUUU
rnacentral:lncRNA from 1 species